rnacentral:rRNA from 1 species
AUUGAACGCUGGCGGCAUGCUUUACACAUGCAAGUCGAACGGUAACAGGCCUUCGGGUGCUGACGAGUGGCGAACGGGUGAGUAAUGCAUCGGAACGUGCCCAGAGGUGGGGGAUAACACAGCGAAAGCUGUGCUAAUACCGCAUGUGAUCUGAGGAUGAAAGCGGGGGACCAGGCAGCAAUGUUUGGCCUCGCGCCUUUGGAGCGGCCGAUGUCAGAUUAGGUAGUUGGUGGGGUAAAGGCCUACCAAGCCGACGAUCUGUAGCUGGUCUGAGAGGACGACCAGCCACACUGGGACUGAGACACGGCCCAGACUCCUACGGGAGGCAGCAGUGGGGAAUUUUGGACAAUGGGCGCAAGCCUGAUCCAGCAAUGCCGCGUGCGGGAAGAAGGCCUUCGGGUUGUAAACCGCUUUUGUACGGAACGAAAAGGCUCUGGCUAAUACCUGGGGCUGAUGACGGUACCGUAAGAAUAAGCACCGGCUAACUACGUG